rnacentral:rRNA from 1 species
AUUGAACGCUGGCGGCAUGCUUUACACAUGCAAGUCGAACGGUAACAGGGUGCUUGCACCGCUGACGAGUGGCGAACGGGUGAGUAAUGCGUCGGAACGUGCCGAGUAGUGGGGGAUAACGCAGCGAAAGUUGUGCUAAUACCGCAUACGUACUGAGGUAGAAAGUGGGGGACCCUCGGGCCUCACGCUAUUCGAGCGGCCGACGUCUGAUUAGCUAGUAGGUGAGGUAAAGGCUCACCUAGGCGACGAUCAGUAGCGGGUCUGAGAGGAUGGUCCGCCACACUGGGACUGAGAAACUGCCCAGACUCCUGCGGGAGGCAGCAGUGGGGAAUUUUGGACAAUGGGCGAAAGCCUGAUCCAGCCAUGCCGCGUGUCUGAAGAAGGCCUUCGGGUUGUAAAGGACUUUUGUCAGGGAGGUAAUCCCUAGUGCUAAUAACACUGGGGGAUGACAGUACCUGAAGAAUAAGCACCGGCUAACUACGUGCCAGCCGCCGCAGUAA